AUUGAACGCUAGCGGGAUGCUUUAAACAUGCAAGUCGAACGGAGUGGAGGACGGGUGGGUAAUAUAUCGGAACGUGCCAAGUAGCGGGGGCUAAAUAAUCGAAAGAGUGGAUAAUACCGCAUACUAAUGGAGCGGCCGAUAUCGGAUUAGCUAGUUGGUGGGGUAACGGCUCACCAAGGCAACGAUCCAUAGAGGGUUUGAGAGGACGACCCGCCACACUGGGACUGAGACACGGCCCAGACUCCUCCGGGAGGCAGCAGUGGGGAAUUUUGGGCAAUGGGCGAAAGCCUGAUCCAGCCAUCCCGCGUGUAUGAUGAAGGCCUUCGGGUUGUAAAGUACUUUUGUCAGAGAAGCGGUAUCUGCCGAAUAAGCACCGGCUAACUACGUGCCAGCAGCCGCGGUAAUUC
rnacentral:rRNA from 1 species